rnacentral:lncRNA from 1 species
GCUUGCUUGCCAUUGUGCUCAUUCGCACAUGCUUGUGAGGGUCGCUCCCUACAAGCCGGCACUCCGGAGAUAGCCAUCGCGACAUAUGCUCGCUCGUGCGGGAUUGGGCGCCGAAAUGGGAUGCCGUGGGGGAGGCUCAUUCCUAGAGUGGGGAUGUUGACUACCACGGGGCCAUUAGGCACGGCGCAGGCCAGACAGCCUACGGGUGGGUCUUACAUGAUUGGAACUUAGUGACAGAACAUGCCAUUUGGACUUUGACUAGAAUAGUAAACAAUGACUUUUACUAUUUAGCUUGUGGACAUUAUGUUAGUGAUACUCGUUUACAUUCAUGUUACAGUAGCUUUAUUACUUAUGCAAUUUCAUGCUAAGUAGAGGCAUCAUGUUGUAGUAAAUUUCCAUGCUUACUUACUAGUGGUUCAUAUUGCUUACAUUUACACUUACCCCUUUUUAGUUGUUGGGCCUAGUGGCGCAUUUCACUGAAGUCAGUAAUUGCCCACUGGGAACUAUUAUUUAAUAGUUCUCACGCCCUCUGCUUUAUGUUUCCUUUCAAAGCCUUCGGUACCGGCGGAGGCACGGGAUCGCGGCAAGGGUGUCACCUAGCUAGACAGAGAGGAGCUACGUUUGAGCUUAGGUGGUUACUCUUUCUUUUGUCGUAGUGAGAGAGAGAUUUUUGUACCAUGUAUAGAGACC